rnacentral:snRNA from 1 species
AGACAUCCAGUCGUGCUUGCUUGCUACAAAUGGAAUGAUACAUAAAUAAUUAGCAUGGCCCCCGUGCAAGGAUGACGCACAAAUUCAUGAAGUAGUCCAUAUUUUA